rnacentral:pre_miRNA from 1 species
UCUGUCUAGAUAGCCAAGGAUGACUUGCCUGUGGCCUCUUGGAGAGAGAGGUGUAGCUUAAUUAGCAGCAUGGUUUGAGCAUUGCUUGAUCGGUUGAUCGCUUCGCUUGCUCUGCAUGAGAUCUUACAGGCAGUCUCCUUGGCUAGUCUGGGCGGC